GACGAACGCUGGCGGCGUGCCUAAUACAUGCAAGUCGAACGCUUCUUUCCUCCCGAGUGCUUGCCCUCAAUUGGAAAGAGGAGUGGCGGACGGGUGAGUAACACGUGGGUAACCUACCCAUCAGAGGGGGAUAACACUUGGAAACAGGUGCUAAUACCGCAUAACAGUUUAUGCCGCAUGGCAUAAGAGUGAAAGGCGCUUUCGGGUGUCGCUGAUGGAUGGACCCGCGGUGCAUUAGCUAGUUGGUGAGGUAACGGCUCACCAAGGCCACGAUGCAUAGCCGACCUGAGAGGGUGAUCGGCCACACUGGGACUGAGACACGGCCCAGACUCCUACGGGAGGCAGCAGUAGGGAAUCUUCGGCAAUGGACGAAAGUCUGACCGAGCAACGCCGCGUGAGUGAAGAAGGUGUUCGGAUCGUAAAACUCUGUUGUUAGAGAAGAACAAGGACGUUAGUAACUGAACGUCCCCUGACGGUAUCUAACCAGAAAGCCACGGCUAACUACGUG
rnacentral:rRNA from 1 species